rnacentral:rRNA from 1 species
UGGCGGCAGGCCUAACACAUGCAAGUCGAGCGGUAGCACAGAGAGCUUGCUCUCGGGUGACGAGCGGCGGACGGGUGAGUAAUGUCUGGGAAACUGCCUGAUGGAGGGGGAUAACUACUGGAAACGGUAGCUAAUACCGCAUAAUGUCGCAAGACCAAAGUGGGGGACCUUCGGGCCUCAUGCCAUCAGAUGUGCCCAGAUGGGAUUAGCUAGUAGGUGGGGUAACGGCUCACCUAGGCGACGAUCCCUAGCUGGUCUGAGAGGAUGACCAGCCACACUGGAACUGAGACACGGUCCAGACUCCUACGGGAGGCAGCAGUGGGGAAUAUUGCACAAUGGGCGCAAGCCUGAUGCAGCCAUGCCGCGUGUGUGAAGAAGGCCUUCGGGUUGUAAAGCACUUUCAGCGGGGAGGAAGGCGAUAAGGUUAAUAACCUUGUCGAUUGACGUUACCCGCAGAAGAAGCACCGGCUAACUCCGUGCCAGCAGCCGCGGUAAUACGGAGGGUGCAAGCGUUAAUCGGAAUUACUGGGCGUAAAGCGCACGCAGGCGGUCUGUCAAGUCGGAUGUGAAAUCCCCGGGCUCAACCUGGGAACUGCAUUCGAAACUGGCAGGCUAGAGUCUUGUAGAGGGGGGUAGAAUUCCAGGUGUAGCGGUGAAAUGCGUAGAGAUCUGGAGGAAUACCGGUGGCGAAGGCGGCCCCCUGGACAAAGACUG